rnacentral:rRNA from 1 species
CUCGUAGGCGGCCAACUAAGUCGGAUGUGAAAUCCCCAGGCUUAACCUGGGAACUGCAUCCGAUACUGGAUGGCUUGAAUCCGGGAGAGGGAUGCAGAAUUCCAGGUGUAGCGGUGAAAUGCGUAGAUAUCUGGAGGAACACCGGUGGCGAAGGCGGCUUUCUGGACAGAUACCGACGCUGAGGCAAGCUAGGGAGCAAACA